rnacentral:lncRNA from 1 species
CAGCAGUUUUUAGCAUAGCAAACACAAGAAAUUAUUCAAUCGGCAGAUUCUACAACAUCUUAACAUCCCAGCUCCACGUUAUGGAGGAGGACUCGAGGAGACGAACAUCCACGAUUGCAGGAGGGCCAGCAGGCGGCGGAUGGGUGAAGCAGGGGCGCGCGGGGCGACGGGCUGGUGGGGGCCGCGGCGCGGGGCGGCGGCGUGCGGAGGCGGCGGCACGAGGGGAGGCGGGCGGGCGGAGACGGCGGCGCGAGGGGACUGGAGGCGAGCGGGCGGGGAGGCGGCGGCGCACCGGGAAGCGGGCUGGUGGAGCCGUGGAGGAUGCCGGAGGCGGCGCGCAGGCAGGGGUAGGGGCGGGAGGAGUGAAAUUAGGGUCAGGUAUUGGGAUCCGACGUAUAUAUACCAUGAGCGGAAUUAGACGUUGGCUGGGCCUUGGACAAGAUAUAAUGGGCCUGUUGUACUGAGCUAGGUGCGGAUACAUGGUACACGGGUUCGGGUAUGUCAAUACCAUACCCGUACCCGUCAUACCCGUCGGCACAAGAUUUUAUCAUUUACAUAUCUGCGG